UCCCUGGUGGCUCAGAGGUUAAAGCGUCUGCCUGUAAUGCAGGAGACCCUGGUUCGAUCCCUGGGUUGGGAA
rnacentral:tRNA from 1 species